rnacentral:rRNA from 1 species
GUUGUAUAGUCAAGUAAUUAAGUGCAUGUGGUGGAUGCCUUGGCAGUCAGAGGCGAUGAAAGACGUGAUAGCCUGCGAAAAGCUCCGGGGAGGCGGCAAAUAUCCUUUGAUCCGGAGAUGUCUGAAUGGGGGAACCCACCUACUUUAAGGUAGGUAUUGCAACAUGAAUACAUAGUGUUGCAAGGCGAACGAGGGGAAGUGAAACAUCUCAGUACCCUUAGGAAAAGAAAUCAAUUGAGAUUCCCUCAGUAGCGGCGAGCGAACGGGGAUCAGCCCAUUAAGUUAUGUGUGUUUUAGUGGAACGCUCUGGGAAGUGCGAACGUAGAGGGUGAUAUUCCCGUACACGAAAGGGCACACAUAAUGAUGACGAGUAGGGCGAGGCACGUGAAACCUUGUCUGAAUAUGGGGGGACCAUCCUCCAAGGCUAAAUACUCCUGACUGACCGAUAGUGAACCAGUACCGUGAGGGAAAGGCGAAAAGAACCCCUGUGAGGGGAGUGAAAUAGAUCCUGAAACCGCAUGCAUACAAGCAGUGGGAGCACCUUCGUGGUGUGACUGCGUACCUUUUGUAUAAUGGGUCAGCGACUUAUAUUCAGUAGCAAGGUUAACCGUAUAGGGGAGCCGUAGAGAAAUCGAGUCUUAAUAGGGCGUUUAGUUGCUGGGUAUAGACCCGAAACCAGGCGAUCUAUCCAUGAGCAGGUUGAAGGUUGGGUAACACUAACUGGAGGACCGAACCCACUGUCGUUGAAAAGCCAGGGGAUGACUUGUGGAUAGGGGUGAAAGGCUAAUCAAGCCUGGUGAUAGCUGGUUCUCCCCGAAAGCUAUUUAGGUAGCGCCUCGGACGAAUACCAUAGGGGGUAGAGCACUGUUUCGGCUAGGGGGUCAUCCCGACUUACCAAACCGAUGCAAACUCCGAAUACCUAUGAGUACUAUCCGGGAGACAGACUGCGGGUGCUAACGUCCGUAGUCAAGAGGAAAACAAUCCAGACCGCCAGCUAAGGCCCCAAAAUCAUAGUUAAGUGGGAAACGAUGUGGGAAGGCAUAGACAGCUAGGAGGUUGGCUUAGAAGCAGCCACCCUUUAAAGAAAGCGUAAUAGCUCACUAGUCGAGUCGGCCUGCGCGGAAGAUGUAACGGGGCUAAAACUAUGUGCCGAAGCUGCGGAUNNNNNNNNNNNNNNNNNNNNNNNNNNNNNNNNNNNNNNNNNNNNNNNNNNNNAUGCUGGAGGUAUCAGAAGUGCGAAUGCUGACGUGAGUAACGACAAAACGGGUGAAAAACCCGUUCGCCGAAAGACCAAGGGUUCCAGUCCAACGUUAAUCGGGGCUGGGUGAGUCGACCCCUAAGGCGAGGCCGAAAGGCGUAGUCGAUGGGAAAAUGGUUAAUAUUCCAUUACUUCUGUGUAAUGCGAUGAGAGGACGGAGAAGGCUAAAUCAGCCUGGCGUUGGUUGUCCAGGUGAAAGGAUGUAGGCAUGUAUCUUAGGCAAAUCCGGGGUACUCUAUGCUGAGAUCUGAUAGCAAGCUGUACUUGUACAGCGAAGUGGUUGAUGCCAUGCUUCCAGGAAAAGUCUCUAAGCUUCAGUUACACAGGAAUCGUACCCGAAACCGACACAGGUGGUCAGGUCGAGUAGACCAAGGCGCUUGAGAGAACUCUGCUGAAGGAACUAGGCAAAAUGGUACCGUAACUUCGGGAGAAGGUACGCUGUUGUUGGUGAUGGAACUCGCUUCCUGAGCUGACGACAGCCGCAGAAACCAGGCCGCUGCAACUGUUUAUUAAAAACAUAGCACUCUGCAAACACGAAAGUGGACGUAUAGGGUGUGAUGCCUGCCCGGUGCUGGAAGGUUAAUUGAUGGGGUUAGCGUAAGCGAAGCUCUUGAUCGAAGCCCCAGUAAACGGCGGCCGUAACUAUAACGGUCCUAAGGUAGCGAAAUUCCUUGUCGGGUAAGUUCCGACCUGCACGAAUGGCAUAAUGAUGGCGGCGCUGUCUCCAGCAGAGGCUCAGUGAAAUCGAAAUCGCUGUGAAGAUGCAGUGUACCCGCGGCUAGACGGAAAGACCCCGUGAACCUUUACUGCAGCUUGACACUGAACUUUGACCUUACUUGUGUAGGAUAGGUGGGAGGCUUUGAAGCUGGAACGCUAGUUCCAGUGGAGCCGUCCUUGAAAUACCACCCUGGUAAUGUUGAGGUUCUAACUCUGUCCCGUGAUCCGGGACGAGGACCGUGUCUGGUGGGUAGUUUGACUGGGGCGGUCUCCUCCUAAAGAGUAACGGAGGAGUACGAAGGUGCGCUCAGCGUGGUCGGAAAUCACGCGUAGAGUAUAAAGGCAAAAGCGCGCUUAACUGCGAGACCCACAAGUCGAGCAGGUACGAAAGUAGGUCUUAGUGAUCCGGUGGUUCUGUAUGGAAGGGCCAUCGCUCAACGGAUAAAAGGUACUCUGGGGAUAACAGGCUGAUACCGCCCAAGAGUUCAUAUCGACGGCGGUGUUUGGCACCUCGAUGUCGGCUCAUCUCAUCCUGGGGCUGAAGCAGGUCCCAAGGGUAUGGCUGUUCGCCAUUUAAAGAGGUACGCGAGCUGGGUUUAGAACGUCGUGAGACAGUUCGGUCCCUAUCUACCGUGGGCGCUGGAAAUUUGAGAGGAUCUGCUCCUAGUACGAGAGGACCAGAGUGGACGAACCUCUGGUGUACCGGUUGUGACGCCAGUCGCAUCGCCGGGUAGCUAUGUUCGGAAGGGAUAACCGCUGAAAGCAUCUAAGCGGGAAGCCUACCUCAAGAUAAGAUUUCCCUAGGACUUUAUGUCCUCUAAAGAGCCGUUCGAGACUAGGACGUUGAUAGGUUGGAUGUGGAAGCAUAGUGAUAUGUGAAGCUGACCAAUACUAAUUGCUCGUGAGGCUUGACUAUACAACACCCAAGCAGUUG